UACGAAGGGGCUAGGCGUUGCUCGGAAUCACUGGGCGUAAAGCGCACGUAGGCGGAUUGCUAAGUCAGGGGUGAAAUCCUGGAGCUCAACUCCAGAACUGCCUUUGAUACUGGCGAUCUCGAGUUCGGAGAGGUGAGUGGAACUGCGAGUGUAGAGGUGAAAUUGAUAGAUAUUCGCAAGAACACCAGUGGCGAAGGCGGCUCACUGGCCCGAUACUGACGCUGAGGUGCGAAAAGCGUGGGGAGCAAACAGG
rnacentral:rRNA from 1 species